UUUGAGGACGAUCUAACUGCCACAUCUGUCAGCUCACUGAUCACCAGGGAAGGGUGUUACCGUCCUGCCUCACUGCUCCAUGUCCACGUGCAUCCCCCCUGAAGCUGCGUGCUCAGUGGAAGAGAACAACCUUGCCUUAAUAGAAGAGGACCAGUCUUAGGUUGAGGAUAUAUGAGAAGCUGUGGUCCCCUGCAAGAACAGCCAAACAAGUUUGCAAGAAAAAGUUGGAUGAAAGCUGGGUGUGGUGGUGCACGCCUUUAAUCCCAUCAUUGGGGAGGCAG
rnacentral:snRNA from 1 species